GGAACUAGGGUUCAAGUUGCUCGGUUUCCAUCAUAUUAUUUCCUAGUGCUGUGGAAUCUAAUGGGAGGGAGACUGCAUUGUCGAUAAAACAGCAGCAGUGAAGGUGUCAAAAGAGACCUGCCCAGCAGAGAAAGCCACCUGUUUAAAGAAGGAUUGCAGGGAGACGCCAGAACCAUUUGGCAACCCUACGCAUACUUCAGAAAAACUGCUCAAGUGUCAGGAAUGGACUCCUUGAGGCUAAAAGGAGACGUAGAAGGCAACCCUGAUUUACAGAGACAAUUAGAUAAGACAUCCUAAGAAAAGCACGGAGAUUGAACUUCAAAUGUCAUAACAGAUGACAAAUAAAAGGAUUGGGACGUUUGGGAAGCCUCUGACCAGACCGGUCUUCUGAGACACCUCCGGUUGGGUUCAAGCGGCGACCUUUUUCAUUAGCUGUCAAGAACGCAACUG